rnacentral:rRNA from 1 species
CGACGCUGGCGGCGUGGAUAAGACAUGCAGUCGAGCGAGAUUUUCCGCUGUACAAUACAGUGAAAGUCUAGCGGCGAACGGGUGCUUAACACGUGGGCAACCUGCCGGGAAGUGGGGGAUAGCUCGCCGAAAGGCGAAUUAAUACCGCAUGUGAUUAGAGUGGACAUCCAUUCAAAAUCAAAGUCGGGGCAACCUGACGCUUCUUGUGGGGCCCGCGGCCUAUCAGCUAGUUGGUGAGGUAACGGCCCACCAAGGCUAUGACGGGUAGCUGGUCUGAGAGGACGACCAGCCACACUGGGACUGAGACACGGCCCAGACACCUACGGGUGGCAGCAGUCGAGAAUUUUUGACAAUGGGGGAAACCCUGAUCGAGCGACGCCGCGUGGAGGAUGAAGGUCUUCGGAUUGUAAACUCCUGUCAUUGGGGAACAAUUCGCUUACGUUAACUGCGUGAGCGUUGAUAG